rnacentral:lncRNA from 1 species
AUUGCACAAGCUUAUUUUAACUGGGCUGCCGCAGAGCCAAUCCCGAGUUCCACAUGGUGCCUUAGAAAGUGGCUCUAAUGUGCUGCCCGUUUACCAGUGACUCCGACGCGCAGAGAAUCAGCACGCCAUGUUGCUGAUCUGCUUUCACAGCAAGGCUUGACACAGUCACCAUUUGCUUCCUGUUCACCCCCGUUCUUAGCCUCUGAGAUUUACAGCUUUUAAAACUCUAGGACUCUUUUCUGCCCCCUUGCAUUUAAGUUAAAAGCUGACCAGUCUAUAAUAUAAAACAUAGAAUUAUGGUAAUGAAUAAGAGGUUAAAAGCUAUCAUGGCAAGUGGAACUUAGCAGGUUUGGCUGACUGAUAUGGUAAAAAUUAUGUGUUGAAUUAAAACAUU